rnacentral:misc_RNA from 1 species
GGGACUACCCGGGUUUCUAAUCCUGUUCGAUACCCACACUUUCGUGCAUGAGCGUCAGUUGAGCGCCGGUAUGCUGCCUUCGCAAUCGGAGUUCUGCGUGAUAUCUAUGCAUUUCACCGCUACACCACGCAUUCCGCAUACUUCUCGCCCACUCAAGACCGACAGUUUCAACGGCGGAAAGAGGUUGAGCCUCUCGAUUUUACCGCUGACUUUCCAGUCCGCCUACGCACCCUUUAAACCCUAUAAAUCCGGAUAACGCUCGCAUCCUCCGUAUUACCGCGGCGGCUGGCAC